AAAGAUUUUGUGAAAUCCAAAAAAUGGAAUUUAUAUAGAAAAAUAGUUUUGUAAAAUACAAAAAUCGAUUUUAUAUACAAAAAUCGAUUUUAUAAAUACAAAAAAAAUAAAAAAAAUUAUAAAAAAAUUCUAAAUCAAUUCAACAAAACAAAUUAUUCAACCAAAUCACAAUUCUAAACCUAUUAUACAACCAAAUCACAAUCCUAACCAAUCACCCUAACAAAAAUCUAUCAAAACUACACAAAAACCUAACAAAUAGAACCUAAGAGAGUGGUAUAGGGUCCUUACAUGAUUUGUGUAAGAGAAGGGGGAGAUCGCCGGAGAUAUCGUCGGAUUUCAGGGAGAAAUCGCCGGAGAGAAGUGAGGAGUCGCGCAGAGGAAGAAGAGAGAAAUGAGGAAGAA
rnacentral:lncRNA from 1 species